rnacentral:rRNA from 1 species
AACGAACGCUGGCGGCAUGCCUAACACAUGCAAGUCGAACGAGACCUUCGGGUCUAGUGGCGCACGGGUGCGUGACGCGUGGGAAUCUGCCCUUGGGUUCGGAAUAACAGUUGGAAACGACUGCUAAUACCGGAUGAUGACGUAAGUCCAAAGAUUUAUCGCCCAAGGAUGAGCCCGCGUAGGAUUAGCUAGUUGGUGAGGUAAAGGCUCACCAAGGCGACGAUCCUUAGCUGGUCUGAGAGGAUGAUCAGCCACACUGGGACUGAGACACGGCCCAGACUCCUACGGGAGGCAGCAGUGGGGAAUAUUGGACAAUGGGCGAAAGCCUGAUCCAGCAAUGCCGCGUGAGUGAUGAAGGCCUUAGGGUUGUAAAGCUCUUUUACCCGGGAUGAUAAUGACAGUACCGGGAGAAUAAGCUCCGGCUAACUCCGUG